UACAGAGGUCCCAAGCGUUGUUCGGAUUCACUGGGCGUAAAGGGUGCGUAGGUGGUGAGGUAAGUCGGAUGUGAAAUCUCCAAGCUCAACUUGGAAACUGCAUUGGAAACUACCUUGCUAGAGGAUUUGAGGGGGGAUUGGAAUACUUGGUGUAGCAGUGAAAUGCGUAGAUAUCGGGAGGAACACCUGUGGCGAAAGCGGCGCACUGGACCACAACUGACGCUGAGGCGCGAAAGCUAGGGGAGCAAACAGG
rnacentral:rRNA from 1 species